GAAUUCGCCCUUAGAGUUUGAUCCUGGCUCAGGAUGAACGCUGGCGGCGUGCCUAACACAUGCAAGUCGAGCGAUGAAGUUUUCUUCGGGAAACGGAUUAGCGGCGGACGGGUGAGUAACACGUGGGUAACCUGCCUCAUAGAGGGGAAUAGCCUUCCGAAAGGAAGAUUAAUACCGCAUAAUAUUAUCGAGUGGCAUCACUUGGUAAUCAAAGGAGCAAUCCGCUAUGAGAUGGACCCGCGUCGCAUUAGUUAGUUGGUGGGGUAGCGGCCUACCAAGACGACGAUGCGUAGCCGACCUGAGAGGGUGAUCGGCCACAUUGGGACUGAGACACGGCCCAGACUCCUACGGGAGGCAGCAGUGGGGAAUAUUGCACAAUGGAGGAAACUCUGAUGCAGCAACGCCGCGUGAGCGAUGAAGGUCUUCGGAUCGUAAAGCUCUGUCUUUAGGGAUGAUAAUGACAGUACCUAAGGAGGAAGCCACGGCUAACUACGUGCCAGCAGCCGCGGUAAUACGUAGGUGGCGAGCGUUAUCCGGAUUUAUUGGGCGUAAAGGGAGCGUAGGCGGAUACUUAAGUGGGAUGUGAAAUACUUGGGCUCAACCCGAGUACUGCAUUCCAAACUGAGUAUCUAGAGUGCAGGAGAGGAGAGUGGAAUUCCUAGUGUAGCGGUGAAAUGCGUAGAGAUUAGGAAGAACACCAGUGGCGAAGGCGACUCUCUGGACUGUAACUGACGCUGAGGCUCGAAAGCGUGGGGAGCGAACAGGAUUAGAUACCCUGGUAGUCCACGCCGUAAACGAUG
rnacentral:rRNA from 1 species